rnacentral:rRNA from 1 species
UAGAGUUUGAUCAUGGCUCAGGAUGAACGCUAGCGACAGGCCUAACACAUGCAAGUCGAGGGGCAUCGGGGCGAGGAGCAAUCCUUGCCGCCGGCGACCGGCGCACGGGUGAGUAACGCGUAUGCGACCUGCCCGUUGCAGGGGGAUAAUCGGGAGAAAUCCCGUCUAAUACCGCGUAAUGCCGCGGGGCUGCAUGGCCCUGCGGCCAAAGGGAGCGAUUCCGGCAACGGAUGGGCAUGCGUGACAUUAGCUAGUUGGCGGGGCAACGGCCCACCAAGGCGACGAUGUCUAGGGGUUCUGAGAGGAAGGUCCCCCACACUGGUACUGAGACACGGACCAGACUCCUACGGGAGGCAGCAGUGAGGAAUAUUGGUCAAUGGGCGCGAGCCUGAACCAGCCAAGUCGCGUGAGGGAUGACGGCCCUACGGGUUGUAAACCUCUUUUGUCGGGGAGCAAAUUCCGCCACGUGUGGCGGAGUCGAGAGUACCCGAAGAAAAAGCAUCGGCUAACUCCGUGCCAGCAGCCGCGGUAAUACGGAGGAUGCGAGCGUUAUCCGGAUUUAUUGGGUUUAAAGGGUGCGUAGGCGGACUGUCAAGUCAGCGGUAAAAUACGGGGGCUCAACCUCCGCCCGCCGUUGAAACUGACGGUCUUGAGUGGGCGAGAAGUAUGCGGAAUGCGUGGUGUAGCGGUGAAAUGCAUAGAUAUCACGCAGAACUCCGAUUGCGAAGGCAGCAUACCGGCGCCCAACUGACGCUGAAGCACGAAAGCGUGGGUAUCGAACAGGAUUAGAUACCCUGGUAGUCCACGCAGUAAACGAUGAAUACUAGCUGUCCGGGGCGAAUGAGCCCUGGGUGGCACAGCGAAAGCGUUAAGUAUUCCACCUGGGGAGUACGCCGGCAACGGUGAAACUCAAAGGAAUUGACGGGGGCCCGCACAAGCGGAGGAACAUGUGGUUUAAUUCGAUGAUACGCGAGGAACCUUACCCGGGCUCAAACGACACAGGAACGUACCUGAAAGGGUUCGGCUCUACGGAGCCUGUGUCGAGGUGCUGCAUGGUUGUCGUCAGCUCGUGCCGUGAGGUGUCGGCUUAAGUGCCAUAACGAGCGCAACCCCCAUCGACAGUUGCUAACAGGUCAGGCUGAGGACUCUGUCGAGACUGCCGGCGCAAGCUGCGAGGAAGGCGGGGAUGACGUCAAAUCAGCACGGCCCUUACGUCCGGGGCGACACACGUGUUACAAUGGCAGGUACAGCGGGAAGCCACCUGGCGACAGGGAGCGGAACCCGAAAGCCUGUCUCAGUUCGGAUUGGAGUCUGCAACCCGACUCCAUGAAGCUGGAUUCGCUAGUAAUCGCGCAUCAGCCACGGCGCGGUGAAUACGUUCCCGGGCCUUGUACACACCGCCCGUCAAGCCAUGGGAGCCGGGGGUGCCUGAAGGCCGUGACCGCGAGGAGCGGCCUAGGGUAAAACUGGUGACUGGGGCUAAGUCGUAACAAGGUAACCGUA